AUUGAACGCUGGCGGCAGGCCUAACACAUGCAAGUCGAGCGAGCGGCGGACGGGUAAGUAAUGUCUGGGAAACUGCCUGAUGGAGGGGGAUAACUACUGGAACCGGUAGCUAAUACCGCAUACCAUCAGAUGUGCCCCGAUGGGAUUAGCUAGGAGGUGGGGUAACGGCUCACCUAGGCGACGAGCCCUAGAUGGUCUGAGAGGAUGACCAGCCAGACUGGAACUGAGACACGGUCCAGACUCCUACGGGAGGCAGCAGUGGGGAAUAUUGCACAAUGGGCGCAAGCCUGAUGCAGCCAUGCCGCGUGUGUGAAGAAGGCCUUCGGGUUGUAAAGCACUUUCAGCGGGGAGGCGUUACCCGAAGAAGAAGCACCGGCUAACUCCGUGCCAGCAGCCGCGGUAAUAC
rnacentral:rRNA from 1 species